rnacentral:piRNA from 1 species
UAAUGCUACUGACAGCCCGAGGAA